CUAAGGAAACUAACGGAAACCCACACAUUCGUCUUUACUUUGUUUAGUUUUGAGAGGUUAAUAAACUUUCUCAAUAAUCAAAUAUAUAAAUAGAAAUGCUCUUGGGGCCUUAGCUCAGCUGGGAGAGCGCCUGCCUUGCACGCAGGAGGUCAGCGGUUCGAUCCCGCUAGGCUCCAUUGCAACUUUUUGUUGCGAAAAUAAGUUGUUCUUUGAAAACUGGAUAAAGUUAAAAAGUGUAAUUCAAGUAACAAACCAGAAAUACACCGAAAAGUUUUAAAAAUGAGUUUUUUUAAGGUUCUCAUCGAAAGAUGAGGUUUAAAAAUUAACUGUUAACCAUA
rnacentral:tRNA from 1 species